UUGACCUCAAAUCGGGUGGGACUACCCGCUGAACUUAAGCAUAUCAAUAAGCGGAGGAAAAGAAACUAACAAGGAUUCCCCUAGUAACGGCGAGUGAAGAGGGAAAAGCUCAAAUUUUGAAUCUGGUGUCUUUGGCGCCCGAGUUGUAAUCUAGAGAAGUGUUUUCCGCGUUGGACCGUUCACAAGUUUUCUGGAAUGAGGCUUCAUAGAGGGUGAGAAUCCCGUAUCUGGAACGGACUACCAAUGCUCUGUGAUACACUCUCAACGAGUCGAGUUGUUUGGGAAUGCAGCUCAAAAUGGGUGGUAAAUUCCAUCUAAAGCUAAAUAUUGGCGAGAGACCGAUAGCGAACAAGUACCGUGAGGGAAAGAUGAAAAGCACUUUGGAAAGAGAGUGAAACAGUACGUGAAAUUGUUGAAAGGGAAGCGUUUGAAGUCAGUCAUAUCUGUCGGGAUUCAGCUUGGCUUUUGCCUUGUGUACUUUCCGUCCGAUGGGUCAGCGUCAAUUCAGACCGAGGGAAAAAGGCGUUUGGAAUGUGGCUGUCUUCGGGCAGUGUUAUAGCCUCGCGUUGUAUGUCUCGGUUGGGAUUGAGGAACGCAGCGCGCCACUUAAUUGGCCGGGGGUUAAGUCCUCUCGUAUCGCGCUUAGGAUGCUGG
rnacentral:rRNA from 1 species